UGCAGAUGUUUUAUAUUGUUCCCUCACCAAGGAGGUUGCUAGCCUGUGGAGGUCAUAGUAAAAUGUCAGUACUGACUUGAGAUGAGCUAUGUGAUCAGAUAAGUGAUGCUCUUCUAGAUGCUCAUCUCAGAAUUGAUCCAGAUGCCAAGGUUGCCUGUGAAUUCUUCCAAUAGCUGGCUGCCAGUCAAGACUUUCAGAGCCAGUAAAGAGCUCAGCUGUGGCACUCUGAUUCAGAAGAGAAGGAAAAGGAGGAAAAAAGCUGCAAAAAAUGAACAGAAUAAAGGAAAGACCUAGUACUCCAGUGCAAAUUUAAAAUUAUGAAAUGUAAGAAGUACACUAGGUGGUAUCAUGGAAAAGUAGGUUUGUCAGGGUAGAUGUUACUGAGGAAUCUAAAAAAAUCAGGGGAAGAAUGAAGUGUGGAAAGAUAUAUGUCAAAGCGCAUGUCUUCACAGAGUAAUUAGGACAAUGCCCUUUGUUCACAGAAGGAUAAGAUCAUUUGAAUGUGAUUCUGAUCAAGGUGGCUUGCUAUUUCGUGUGACUUUCCAUUAGGACUAUGAACGGAUGUUGUCACUUGCAACAGAGGCUAUGAACAUGUUAUCAAAUUGGAAUGAGCUGGAUUGCCAGACAAAAUGGACAUAGAAAGAGAAUGUACCUAAAGAGCUUUCCAAAUGCAGUGAUUUUAUUUCUAGAACAAGCCACCAAGACCAUAAUUACAGCACAGAGGGCU